UCCAUCUGAUGAGUUAAGCCUUUUUCAACUGAUUUUUAUAGUUCGUUCUUAUGUUGUACUGUUAUACCACUGUCCCAGGUUAGGGGAAGGGUUGGGAUCCCGCUAACAUGUUUAACCCCGCCACAUUAUUUAUGUAUGUGCCUGUCCCAAGUCGGGAGCCUGUAAUUCAGUGGUUGUCGUUUGUUUAUGUGUUACAUACUUUUCUUUCAUUUUUAGCUCACCUGUCCCGAAGGGACAAGUGAGCUUAUGCCAUCACUUGGCGUCCGUCGUCGUCCGUCGUCUGUCGUCGUAAACUAUUUCAAGAAUCUUCUCCUCUGAAACUACUGGGCCAAAUACUUUCAAACUUUAACUGAAUGUUCCUUAGGGUAUCUAAUUUAUAAAUUGUAUCCGAAGUUUUGAUCUAUCAACAAACAUGGUCGCCAUUGCUAAAAAUAGAACAUAGGGGUCAAAUGCAGUUUUUGGCUUAUAACUCAAAAACCAAAGCAUUUAGAGCAAAUCUGACAUGGGGUAAAAUUGUUUAUCAGGUCAAGAUCUAUCUGCCCUGAAAUUUUCAGAUGAAUCAGACAACCUGUUGUUGGGUU
rnacentral:lncRNA from 1 species